rnacentral:rRNA from 1 species
UACGAAGGGGGCUAGCGUUGCUCGGAAUCACUGGGCGUAAAGGGUGCGUAGGCGGGUCUUUUAAGUCAGGGGUGGAAAUCCGUGGAGCUCAACUCCAGAACUGCCUUUGAUACUGAAGAUCUUGAGUUCGGGAGAGGUGAGUGGAACUGCGAGUGUAGAGGUGAAAUUCGUAGAUAUUCGCAAGAACACCAGUGGCGAAGGCGGCUCACUGGCCCGAUACUGACGCUGAGGCACGAAAGCGUGGGGAGCAACAGG